GAUGAACGCUAGCGGCAGGCCUAACACAUGCAAGUCGAGGGGUAGAACACUUCGGUGUUUGAGACCGGCGCACGGGUGCGUAACGCGUAUGCAAUCUACCUUGUACAGGGGAAUAGCCCAGAGAAAUUUGGAUUAAUGCCCCAUAGUAUAUAACCUUCGCAUGUUGGUUAUAUUAAAGUUUAGGCGGUACAAGAUGAGCAUGCGUCCCAUUAGUUAGUUGGUAAGGUAACGGCUUACCAAGACGAUGAUGGGUAGGGGUCCUGAGAGGGAGAUCCCCCACACUGGUACUGAGACACGGACCAGACUCCUACGGGAGGCAGCAGUGAGGAAUAUUGGUCAAUGGUCGCAAGACUGAACCAGCCAUGCCGCGUGCAGGAAGACGGUCCUAUGGGAUUGUAAACUGCUUUUUGUACAGGAAGAAACACUCCCUCGUGAGGGAGCUUGACGGUACUGUAAGAAUAAGGAUCGGCUAACUCCGUGC
rnacentral:rRNA from 1 species